rnacentral:rRNA from 1 species
GACGAACGCUGGCGGCGUGCUUAACACAUGCAAGUCGAACGGAAAGGCCCUGCUUUUGUGGGGUGCUCGAGUGGCGAACGGGUGAGUAACACGUGAGUAACCUGCCCUUGACUUUGGGAUAACUUCAGGAAACUGGGGCUAAUACCGGAUAGGAGCUCCUGCUGCAUGGUGGGGGUUGGAAAGUUUCGGCGGUUGGGGAUGGACUCGCGGCUUAUCAGCUUGUUGGUGGGGUAGUGGCUUACCAAGGCUUUGGCGGGUAGCCGGCCUGAGAGGGUGACCGGCCACAUUGGGACUGAGAUACGGCCCAGACUCCUACGGGAGGCAAGAGGGGGGAAUAUUGCACAAUGGGCGGAAGCCUGAUGCAGCAACGCCGCGUGCGGGAUGACGGCCUUCGGGUUGUAAACCGCUUUCGCCUGUGACGAAGCGUGAGUGACGGUAAUGGGUAAAGAAGCACCGGCUAACUACGU